rnacentral:rRNA from 1 species
UAGGGAAUCUUCGGCAAUGGGCGAAAGCCUGACCGAGCAACGCCGCGUGAAUGAUGAAGGCCUUCGGGUUGUAAAAUUCUGUUAUAAGGGAAGAACGACUUUAGUAGGAAAUGGCUAAAGUGUGACGGUACCUUAUGAGAAAGCCACGGCUAACUACGUGCCAGCAGCCGCGGUAAUACGUAGGGGGCGAGCGUUGUCCGGAUUUACUGGGCGUAAAGGGUGAGUAGGCGGUUGUAUAAGUCAGAUGUAAAAGGCGUAGGCUCAACUUACGUAAGCAUUUGAAACUGUACAACUUGAGUGCAGGAGAGGUAAGUGGAAUUCCUAGUGUAGCGGUGAAAUGCGUAGAUAUUAGGAGGAACACCAGUGGCGAAGGCGACUUACUGGACUGUAACUGACGCUGAGUCACGAAAGCGUGGGUAGCAAACAGG